GGCUGGGUUGCUCAGUUGGUUAGAGCUUUGCCCUUUUUAUGCCAAGGUGGUGGGUUCGAUCCCCACCCCAGUCA